UCUCCCCGGCAGUCUCUGGUUUUGGGGGACGAUAAUGAAAUCUUGGGCAUAACAGAACCAGAUGUCUGGCAAACCCUUUCAUGCUCACAUCUCACCUCACUUGUUAUGAGGUGGACAUUACAGUUACCCCCAUUUUACAGAGACAUAGAUCUGGCUUUGGUGAAACCAGAAAAAAGAAACCCCAACAAUUUGUGCUGAGACCAAGAGGAUACAUCUGUUUCCUGAAUCAACCAGAUCAAAUGAGCAGUGCAUCAAACGCCGCCUGUGCUGAGACUUUAUUUUCUUCCAAAGAAAGAUGAAGCAGUCACACUCAAAGAGGGGGGGAGGGGGGACUAUGCCCAAGCCAAAGGAAAAAUAUAAUCUCUUCUUUGGGGUGAUGCCAGCAGAUUUCUUGAUAUGGUGCUUUCUCCAAACUAAAUUUCACUCCUCACAGGUAUCAUUUCUAAAGCGCCUGUAAAUUUAAAAAAAAAAAAAA